rnacentral:rRNA from 1 species
CAGUCACACUGGAACUGAGACACGGUCCAGACUCCUACGGGAGGCAGCAGUGGGGAAUAUUGGACCCUGAAAUGGGCGAAAGCCUGAUCCAGCCAUGCCGCGUGUGUGAAGAAGGUCUUCGGAUUGUAAAGCACUUUAAGUUGGGAGGAAGGGCAUUAACCUAAUACGUUGGUGUCUUGACGUUACCGACAGAAUAAGCACCGGCUAACUCUGUGCCAGCAGCCGCGGUAAUACAGAGGGUGCAAGCGUUAAUCGGAAUUACUGGGCGUAAAGCGCGCGUAGGUGGUUUGUUAAGUUGAAUGUGAAAUCCCCGGGCUCAACCUGGGAACUGCAUCCAAAACUGGCAAGCUAGAGUAUGGUAGAGGGUAGUGGAAUUUCCUGUGUAGCGGUGAAAUGCGUAGAUAUAGGAAGGAACACCAGUGGCGAAGGCGACUACCUGGACUGAUACUGACACUGAGGUGCGAAAGCGUGGGGACCAAACAGGAUUAGAUACCCUGGUAGUCCACGCCGUAAACGAUGUCUACUAGCCGUUGGGAGUCUUGAACUCUUAGUGGCGCAGCUAACGCAUUAAGUUGACCGCCUGCCGAGUACGGCCGCAAGGUUAAAACUCAAAUGAAUUGACGGGGGCCCGCACAAGCGGUGGAGCAUGUGGUUUAAUUCGAAGCAACGCGAAGAACCUUACCAGGCCUUGACAUCCAAUGAAC